UUUUUUUUUGUAUGUGAGAGAUAAUCUGAGAGCUUCGGGUGCAUAUAUCUCUGAAAAAAAACCAAAGAGACGUUACUGUAAAAGCAGUUGCAGAAAACUGCCUUCCAGCCACAGCUACAGCCGGCGGACCUACCAAUCGCUCCAUCAGAUAUGGUCACUAGCAGACGGACACGGUAUUGUCUGUGGCAUUAUUUUGGGGGCCCGUUUUAUUAUGAAACACUAGGGUGUUUCUAAGCCACCCAACAAUCAUUUUUUUACCACUAGAUAAAAUUAUACCGCUGGCUUCAUUUUCAAUCUCCAAACGCUCUUCUUUCUCAAACUUUCUUCCAUAGCGUCGAAUCAAUUGAGAAUGUGAAACCCAGCUUCGCCGACCUCCUCCCAUCUCUUCACACUGUUGGAUCUACAUAGUGCUAACCCAAUCAUUGUGAAUCCUCCAUCCUGCCAUUGCCCACCAGGUCUCUUCCUCCUCCCACGAUUGGCAACAACUGCCGAUCGCCCAUCCUACACCUACUACCACCGACAAAGUGGCGUACUUUCUCCUAGCAUUCCCUUUGGGCUCGAGGAUCAACGAUCCUCUCCAAAAACUCCACGCCCUCCUCUUUAUCCAAACCCAGCAAUCUCCUAAUCCAGCAACCCUAACUUGAUGAGCACGACACUAGAGAAAUAGGACAUUUGGUCAGGGUUCCUGGAAUCAAAGCAAGAAAUUGAAAUUGAAGAAAGGAAGAAAUAAAUCAAGGUGGUAGAGAAGGAUGAAACACUAUCGACCCGCCACCUAGGUAUUCACUAAUUAUCCUCCCGGCACUUCCGACAUCACGACUUUCUGUAUGCUAUCCGUCAUUCUGACAACCUCCGUGCCCACUCGUCCCCGCGGAAAUAUAGGUGACCAGGUAACCAACUAUAGAUUGAGUUGACUUAAAUGCAGAAGGUAAUUUGGGGGGGGGGGGCUGCAAACCGUUGAAUAAUAUGCUUAUGUGAGGAAAACCAGUCAUCCUAUACAUCCUACCGAUUUUUUUUCAUGUAAUUACCGCAAAGCUUCAACCAUGUUGAGUGUGCUAUCACGUCGCCAGCAACUUUCCUUUUUGAUCGAUUUCUUUAGCGGCAUGUGAAAGCGAUUUUGUAUCAAUCAACAAAAUAAAAAAGGAAAAUAUACGAAAUACGUUUUCCUAUGUGGCGCCUACGUGGACAUAUACGACGUAACACCGGGGCGAGAAAUUCUCCUGGCCCUCGGGUUGCGCUGCUACGCGCACCCCGCGCCGCCCACACGAAAUCCCCCGCUUUCCCUCUAUUUAUACACACCAAUACGGCGAUAUAAAACAUACUCCUCAGCCCCUUCUCUCCCAAGUCCCACCCCGCGCCUCGCCGGAGCUCCGCCGCCGCCGCCGCCACACCGCCCUCCGUUUCCGCCGCCGCCGCCGACCAGCCAUCGAAUGCCCUUGGAGGCGCCCCUCGACGCCGCAUCUUCUUCAGGCCGAGGCUUCCACGCCGCGAGCCCCGUGCAUCCCCACGGUGUUCGGAGGAAGAGGAGGUGGUCGGCGGCCGCCGGGGAGGAGCCCAGGAGAUGAGGGCCGCGCGGGGGGUGGCGCGCGUGCGCCGGGAUGUGCUCGCCGCGCGCAUGACGUGCCCGCUAUGCCAGGGACUCCUCAGGGAGGCCACCGCCAUAACCCACUGCCUCCACACAUGUGAGUCCUCCCUCCCUCCCUCCCGCUCUGUCUCUCUCUGUCCCGUUCGCUCGUGCUCCCUCGCCGCGCCUGUCUCUGCCCGCGCCCGCGCCGGAGGCGGCCAUGGUUUCCCCGCGCCGUCCCCCGCGUGGGCGCUCGUCUCCUCGCGCCGUGUCGCGUCGCGUUUGCGUCCUUUUGGUUUUGGUGUCGGAUUCUUUUCGUUCUCUCGUUCGGGUGCCCCCGGCGAUCGAGCUGGUGUCCGAUGCGAGUUCUUUGAUCCCAGGAGGGUGGCGAGCGCGCCGCCUUUCUCGUGGAUUGUGGCUUCGGUCGCGCUCCCCCGCGUGUUUGCCCGUGAUGGCCACCUCGCGCCGCGUUCGCGUUUGCUUCCCCGUGGCUGGCUUUGCUGUAGGAGCUCAACUGGCCAUGGGCGCCGGGUUUUCGUGCCCGGCGUCGCCGGCUAUGGUUCCUUCCACGUCUCCGUGCAUCCUAGCGUUUCCUCUGCCUGUUCUCGACGAUCCCGAGGUGCCCUGUGGCGCCUCUUGAUCUUCACGAGGUCCAAAAGCCGCGGGCUUUGUCCUGGGCUGGGUCUGCUCUGCCGACGCGGAGCCACUCGCCGGCUGCCUCCGUCUCCGUGGUUUCUUUGUUCUCGCUAUCGCUUCCUCCCGCGAAGGCUCGGGGGCCUCGGGGCUCGGUUCCUCGCCGCCGGCAUGCUCCUUAAUCCUUAUCUCGUUCGAGUGUUCUCGGUUCUUGCUCUUCCGAGUUGGCAAUGCCGCAAAGGCGCGGCGUCCAGGCGGCUGGCAGGUCUCAUCUAUCACCGCCGCUGCAGGGCAGACUACUCGCAGUCUGAACUCGGCACAACCUGCUGGGAGCCUGGAUCGGGUGCCGCGGUUUACCAUUAGGCCCUGAGCAUACCAUCGGCGGUGACCGCCAGUACCACAUCCUUAUGGUCAUGGCGACAUGGCCCGGCCUCCCGUCCGCGAUUCCUGACAGGGUGAUCGAACAACAUUUAGUGCACCAACGCCUUGCGGACCGCGGAGCUUUUAGUGCUAGGGGAAAAGGCUGUAAAGCGUCGGUCACUUGUUGCAGAAUGUAUGGGGUGUGCUGCAUCGAGGCACUCUAGUAGCUUCUGUGAGUUUGGUAAUGGUGGGGGAGUUUGGACUUUGGAGAUGGUGCCAUUCUAGCCUAGUUCUGAUCAGAAACGUGGUGUCCGAUUAGCUCGAGUCCUUGUGCUUAUGAUUGUAGAAUGGCAGUUUGGAAUUCUGUUGGAUGCUAUGAUUGUCCACUGCCUUCUAUAUAUUUGUGGAUGGAGUUGGGGCUUGUGUAAGGAAAUUAGCCAAAGUGUUCAUUUUGUAGGGUGGAUGGUAGUCUUUAGCGUUCUUGAUCGUUAAAAUAUUUCUUAGUUUCAUUGCAUAUUGGUGUCUUGAACAAUCUCAACAAAAGUCAGGCAAUGCUGCUGCACCCUAAAUGUAGUGUUGAUGUCAGGCAUGCUGCAGAGAGGCAUAGAGCAGCACAUAUACAUGUAGGAACCAGACCAAAGGAAACGCUUCACUGAAUAGGAGCUUGCAGAGUUUGCGCGCCAAAUAUCGUACGUUACUAGUUGCUGCAACAGAAGUUAACAAGUGUCGUUACCGUCAUCAGUUCUUUUAAAUCUCUUUCUGAAUCUGUCUUGCUUGUAUUAAUAGAGUUUCUCUUGUGACUAUAUCUUUGACAGUUUGCCGGGAGUGCAUUAUGGAGAAAAUAAAUGACGAUGAAGUUGAAUGCUGCCCAGUAUGCAACAUUGAUCUUGGCUGCGAUCCUGAAGAGAAACUCAGGUGAACUAGUUGUUUAACUUUUGAGUCUCUUCUGUAAAAUAUUAUCUCUCCUUCGUUACUUCUGGCAAUUCCUUCUGCUUAUGAAUUCUUGUACGAGUGCAACCUUCAGUCAUUAAUAUGAUGUGAAAUUUUAGAUGUCAUAUUGUAGCUAAUAUGUAAUAAAACUGUGUACCUUGAAAACUUCUCUGUCGAACUCGACCGGUGAUGGUUCCAAGAUCAAGGGAUAGUCAAAGUGCAGAAAAAGGACUACAAGGAUUAUCACAACAGAUAAAACCCAUAUAUAAUCUAUUUGCCUAGGAUGUCUGCAAUUCAGACAAGUGAGCUCCGUCAUAAAUAUAGCUUGAUCUUGUUACUUUAAAAGUUUAAACCGUAAAGUACUAGGAAUAAACAUUAACUUUCCUUUGACACUGCUGUUUCCUUUUGAAGCUCUGAUUGCAUACAGCAUUUAUUGAAUCAGAGCUUAUUCCAUGUUCUAUUAAUAGUCUCACUAUGAUAUGCUCUUUUGUUCACAUAUCAUACCUGAUUGAAAAUUGUUUCUUAUGAUUAUCACUUGAAGGAGAGCACUAUCUUGUAAUUGCACCUUUACAGAUUGUACCUUUCAAUUUGACAAAAGCUGGAGAAACCAGCCUCUCUGAAGUUCCCUGCCUACGUUUUCCACCAUAUUUCCAAAUACACAUAUUUUCUUUUUUUGCCUCAAGUACCCGGUUUCUUAUUUGUGUGAAACAGAAUUGUCGGCCAUAGUGCUGCAGCUGUUUAUUUAUGUCUAUUGAGUUGAAUGAUCAACUGUGAAUUGUCACCUAACUGUGAUUGUUUCCUUGUAUGAAGACCUGACCACAACCUUCAAGAUAUCAGGAAUAAGCUAUUUCCAAUUAAGAAGAAAAAAGUUGAUUCUCUGAAGGCUCCAACAACAUUGCCAGCAAAGAGAAAACAGAGGUCCCUUUCUUCCUUGGUGGUUGACACUCCAAGCGUAGAGAAGUGGACUGGUUUGACUGGAAAGAGAACCAAAGCUAAAAGAAGGGCAGCAGCUUCUCGUGCAACUUCUUCCAGUAAUAAUGGAACCAUGAAGUUACCAGCUAAAUCUGAAGGUCGAGAUCAGAAGACUGAGAAAACCUCAGCACUGCAAUCUACCAAGGUGGCAAAAACAGCAAAGAAAAAUGAAAGUCGAGAUCAGAAGAUUGAGAAAGCUUCAGCACAACAAUCGACCAAGGCGGCAAUAGCUGCAAACAAAAAGCAGGUACAUAUGAAGAACUGUGAUGUUUGUGUAAUAUCAAAUGAUUUCGAGUGAAAGUUUGAUGUGAAUUCUCUUUGUAAACUUUUCUAGUUCUCAUAAAUCAUUAUCUUUCAAAACAGCGAAGUACAGAUGUAGAAGUCUCAAGUAAGCCAUAUUCUGAAGAUAAAAAGAAUGCCAAGAAAGCUGACAAGGUGGUUCAUGCUGCAAGGAAGGCAAAAGCACCUAGAUCAACUCCCAAAAUCCAUGGUGCCACUGAAGAGCAAAUAAAGAAGAAAGGGAGUGAACUCCCUAUAAGGAAAGAGGAGACAGAAAAUGAAGUGAAUAUUCCUGGAACAACGGUGGCGAAACGUUCAAAUGAGCUGAGUCAUAGAGAGGGGGCAGAAAACGAAGUGAAUAUUCCUGGGACAACGGUGGAAAAUAAUGGCACUUCCUCAGAACCUGCACCGUCGACAGAUCAAGCAACAACAGAGGAUAAUUCGAACCAAGGAUUGUCUGGUUCUGCAAGCACUUUGCAUGAUCCAAUAACCACUCCCGUCUGGUUCUCAUUAGUUUCUUCUCCUAACCAGUAAGAUCGCAUCAUCUCAGUGUUCAGAAUAUGAUUCACAUAAGACUAUUAUGCCUUUUAUCUAAGUUCAGUUCAAAAUGCUAACUUGUUUUCAGGAAAGGAGAUCUACAGCUGCCUGAGUUAUCAAAGAGUUACUUGAGAAUUAAGUGAGUUUCAUUAGUCCUGUAAUUUCUUUGUCUCUUUCUAUGCUAGAAAGCUCUUUUAUGUGCUGCCCUCUUAUUCUUAGGUUAGACUUAUCCAAUUAUUUGCCUGAUCUGUUCUCACCUGGCUAUUUGCCGUACCAAUGUACAAUGAUGAUGACGUAGGAAUGUUUUUCAGUAAUAAAUGAUAGUGGUAAAUUUUUAAUACCAUCCCUUUUUGGUUUAUUAACUAAUUAGAUUUCAGCUCUAAUAUUGAUACAGUGUUUUGUAUGUAUAAACACUAAUGAAAGUACCUAAAAAAACGUCGUCAUCUUGAGAAUUUGGGCCAACGAUCACAAUGUGUUCCAUGGGUGACUAUCUUAUAGGAACUUCUAUUAGGCAACUUGCAAGCUACACUGCUGAGCAGUCCAAUGUUUCACAGCUGUAGUGGCAUGCAUUCUGCUCCCAGAAUUCUAAUUUCUUUCUUCAAUAUGUUUUUUGUCUUUAUUUCAGAGAUGGCAGUUUGCAGAUUUCCUUUGUACAGAGGUACGUUGCGAAGAAACUGGAUAUAGGUGAUGAAAAUGAGGUGCAUUUCUCAUAUAUCACUCAUUCACUCCAUACACUUCCAUUUUUGUUGUUAGAUGAAACAAAAACCUGGGUCGGCCUCUUUGCAACUUGCUUGUUUUAGAGCAUUUGAUUGAUCAGCACAGGCUCAAUCUGAGAAUGUGGUAGACCACUAGAACACACAGGAUCGAUUUUUAGCAGUGAAAUCUGAUCGCCUUAGCUACGGAUAGAACCAAGUUUGUAGAUUUGGAUGGCAACAUCUGAGUUAUUCGCAGUCUCUGCCCAGCGUUUCUGCCCUGCAGAGCUGGGCUCUGAAAUGAUGUAGUCUUAACCUAUGACCAUUUCUGUAGUCUUGGCACCCGCAAGUAAGCCUUUCCAUGGCCUAUUUUGCGUGGCUUCCACAAAUCAGUUUCAGUUGCAAAUAUCCAAGGGAAUCUUGGAACCAUGUACUGAUGCAUAUAUAUACUUGCACAACUCAUAGUAACUUGCUGUUCUUCUGUACGUGAAGGCCUUUGGAUCAUGUCAAGAAAGCGCUAAUAAUUCUGAUGCAGAUGAAAAUGAUUCUGACUGAUCCCACCACCCAUUUAACUGAUUCCUCUAAUUUCUCUGUAACGGCAGGUGGAGAUCUUAUGCCACGGCAAGCCGGUCUGCCCCUCGAGCACGCUGCACGGGCUGGUGGACCUUUGGCCGCGGAGAGAGCCGGAGGAGCCCUUCCCGGCGUCGCUGGGCGCGCCGGCCAAGGAGUACGUCAUGGUGCUGUGCUACCGCCGCCGCCACCGCCCUUUGACGCCGGCAUCGUCGCCGCGCCACCAGACGACGAGCCCCGGUGAAGCUGAAGCCUCCUGCAACGGCGACGGCACCACCGCGGAGCCCGGCUGAAACUGCCGCGCUCUGUCCGUCGCUCCUGUCCAUCGUCAGAUCCUCCCAGUCAUAAGCCUAGGAUUAAAAGAAGAAGAAGAAAGAAAUUACCCCUAGAGUUUUUUUUCUCGUUUCUUAGACCUUGUAAAGAUGGAGUAAGCACCUUAAACAGUGAAUCCUGUUUACUUUUUUAGAACAUUUCUGACGAAAAACAAAAAAAAGUUAGGGUGAGAUCGAUCUUGUGUUCUUGCGCCGUGAUCCGUCGCUCCAUUGCCGUGCCAGGCAGUGCAUAGCGCGCUAUACUGCAAUGCCUAUACUGUGCUAGCAGCUAGGAUCAACGUUGUUGAUCGAGUAACUGCCGGCCGCGGCUGUUUCUGUCUCGUAGUGGUCACCUGGAAUGGACCUGCCCGUUGGUUUACGGUCUCUACAGCGGCCUGCUGCUGGCUGCUGCUCAGCAUCAUCAGCAUGGCAGCAUGGCUGGCAUUCCGAGCUGGAGCUCAGCCAUACGCUUGAGCUUGAGCCCCACACUUUCACGCACGUCAUGUCUGGAGGCUGGGUUGCCCGUGGCUCCUCCGCGUUGCUGACGCCGGCAGGCCAGGGGAGGAGUGGUUGACGAGCGAGCGAGCUGGUGAUGAUGGCCCAGGGAAAGGACGGGCGUGUGCGUGUCGUGUGACGGUGUGAUUCCCUUCUCCUCCAAGAAAGCGAGGGCGGCUUCUGAGCGAAGCAAAGCAGAUGCCGCGGCGGUUGACUUUGACUGUCCGUUACUGAACGUUAACUAUCGCUUCUUUUCGCUGAGGUCGACCAGAAACAACAGCACAACACGCGUCUGUCGUCGUCCCGGCAAGGCGGCAACAGCUCCUUCCCAAUAUUUGUUCCUGUCUUGUUUUUUGAAGAAAAAAAAACAGGCAGGAGCACUGCCAAAUCACUAGGCCAACGUUUAUCCCAGCAAACAACAGGAAAUACAACGUGUGCAGGAUCGAAAAAUUCAGCAAGACGUUACCGUUGGAGAUCCAAACGGCGCUUGCUUUUUUUUAAAAAAAAAAAGAGAGAGAGAGACCAGGAACAUUUGCCAGCAUAGAUUACUAAGAAGAAGAGAUUACAUGUGCAAGGAACACAGCUCAAACAAACAGCUCAACCAAGCCCAGAAAAAGGAAAAGGGAUUACUUGCUAAUGAUGGUACAACCAAAGCUGCAAGGGACUAGCUUGGCCCCAGCAAGGCACCAAGUUCUUGCCUCUUGCAGUGAAGUCCCCUUGCAGGAUGAUCAUGAUGGCACCAAUUUGCAAAUACCCUAUCCAAAUUGUUUUCUCGUCCUGUGAUUUCGCUCCUUCUUAAUGCACCGGAUGAACAGGAUGGCAAAAGUAUGGACUCCGUUGAAGCUUGAUCCCGAAUCCCGAUGCUACCAACAACGUACUGAACCAACCAACCCAUGCAGCAGAGACUAGAGAGUAGUGGUCCACUGCAAAUUGACAGAGUUUGUGAACUGCAUUGAAAAACCAUCCCACUGGGAAAGCAUUCUGAACCUGAAGAAGGAACACGGAGGUUUCAGCCUGAAUGGUUCAGAAAUUCAGGCAAGUGCCACAGCAAAAUGUCACCAAAACUGACGCACAGCAAAUGCAAUAUAGUUAACUGCUAUAAGAAAGCAUAGUUCCCACAUUACAGCUGGGCAUCUCCGGCUACUGCUUAUCCAAUGUUAGAGGCCAAGCAGGUAUGCAGGCAGCACUUCCCAAUCACAGAAGGAAGAGAACCCAAUUGGACAGAAAAUACACUACACAUGCACAGUCAAGUUCAGCAGCAUCCAAUGUUUCAGACAGAAAAGGACACAACGCGAUUUUCACAUCAAAAUUCAGGCCAUGAUACUAGACUUCACAUAUACAGAGACAGUCUGGAGGUCAAUGGUGAUGGACACACACAAGCUCUGCAGGGCUAUGGAAGUAUGGAUCUAUGUCAAGUCAGAUACAUACAUUUCUGUUUGUAUGCAGGCUGCACUUUCUACAUUACUAAAGUUAUGGAAAUCUACAAAUUCAAUGAGAGCUGAGCUUGAAACAUCAGCAUUAGAAUGUGCAGGCAAAAUUGCAUUUAUCAUUCUCAGAUAUAACAGAUUCACAUAUGAACACCAUACCAAUCACCAACUGAAUCUAGCAAUGGCUUCAUAUGUUCAUAGCACCAUUGCAUCUCACCACAAAUAUGAUAUGACAAGCAAAUCUAGCAUGUUUACACACCCACAAGACAACCAAAUAUUAGACUCCGUGAUCAAAUCCAACUGCUAAGCCUGGUAAUUACAAAGAAACUGCGAUUGCAACCAAUAAGGCAAUAACAUCAGCCCUGUCGAAAGUGCAUCUUGGAAACCGUCAUCGUACCAUGGCCAGCCGCUGGAUCAACCAAUGCGGACGUAGGUGGGCAGGAUGGGCCCCGCGGCGCUCAUGCCGGCUGCCACCAGGCCGUUCCCGGCCGCCUCCUCCUCCGUGAGGAAGAGGUCGUCGGUGGAGCGCAGCGCGGCGUGGGCGCCUACCAGCGUGCCCCCGAUCAUGACGGAGCCGACGACGUUCCACCCGACGUUGGUGAAGAGCAUGGCGACGACGGUGACGCCGCAGAGCGCGGCGAGGACGGUGCCGUCGUCGAACUCCACCCCGAAGACCCUGAGCGGCUGCCCUCCCUGGGCGGGGCGCGCGAAGUAGAGGAAGAACCAGGCGGCGCAGAGGAAGAGGAGCGCGAAGAGCGUGCCAGGGUGCCAGAGCAGCGAGGCCGCGACGACGGCGAGCACGGCCAGCGCGUAGUUGGCGCGGAAGUAGGCGGUGUUGCGGCGCAUCCGGGCGAGCGCCUCCCCGAGGGAGGGCGGCUUGGAGAAGGCCGGCACGCGGAGGACCUCGGCCCAGGGGCGGCGCGCCGCGAUGAGCGCCUGGCCCUGCUCGCGGAACCGCGUGACGAGCUCGGCCGCCUUGGUCAGCGGGGACGGCGGCGCCGUGGGGUCGUGGAUCGGGCCCGCUUGGGUGGAGACCUGUGGCGGGGGAGGGUUGGGGUAGGCCGACGGGGGCGCGGGGUAGGCGGGGAUCUUGGCGUAGGCGGCGCUGCCGCCGGAGGAGGAGGGCGCCGGGUAGGUGUACCCGCCGCCGGCGGGGGCGGAAGAGGCCGGCGCGACGUAGGCGGGUACGGAGCCGUACAUGGCGGCGGGGGGAGGGGGCUGGGCGGCGGCGGAGUUGCGCAUGGUCGGGGGAGAUCGGAUUUGCUGGAGGGAGGAGGAGGUUGGGGAAAGGUGGGGAGAAGAAUACGACGCGGCCACGCACGCUGAGCUGGUUUGAGUCCUUGAUUUACCCACGACUCGAGGGAGGGAAUUGGGAUGAUUGCGCGGCGGCGUGAUUCGCUGGAAAAAGAGAAGGAAACGAGCUCUAUUUGUUGUGGGGGAGGAAACUGCCAGGGGAUGCCGCGUUUUUAAGCACCGCUUUGCUUCCUGGCAAAGCACCCGUUGGAACUUUUCGUUUUGUUUCCUGUAUAGUUAUUUUAUUCUCGAUACGAAUAGUGUAAAAAAAAUUUAUAUAAUGAUAUUUGUCCUAUUCGCAUAUUAAAUAUUCAACUUUGAGUAUCUGGAUUCGGAUACGGUACGGAUAUUACACGUGCGGAUUCGGAUACGAACUAUCCAUUUGACUGCCUGAAACCUUCAGUCGAACGAACGGAUAGAUAAUAUACGUACCACUUUCAUCCCAUACCAAGAUGUAAAGAACACAAUCAGAUGUGAUGACCGUCUUAAUUAAUAAUGCACAUGCUUUUAUUCGAGAUCCUCAAUUCCAAUUCGACCGGAACUGCACAAACUGAUGAUUUCUGGAUGUAUAGCGGACCAACAUGUUACUGCAUCAAAAGAAUCUCAUUCUACAGUCUCACGAAAGAGCAUACCAGUGCUACUUCUUGUGUGUUCUUCAGAUUCUAUUCUAGGUUUCUUUUUCAGAUAUCCUUGUUGUUGACAACACCCUUAUCAAUUACGGCUAUGUUUUUCCUCUGUCAAAUCUAAUAGAUUUAGUAUACUCAUGUGUUCAUCAUACAACUACCGAUGUGUUAAAAAUUAUUUUCAUAGUGCUUGGUGUCCUAAUGUUUAUGCAUGUACAUCAAUAGGUCUUUGCUGAAAAGAGUUUAGACACAAUAGAAACAUGAAGAGAAAAUAAAAGGAACACAUUCAUGCCAAAAGAAGAAGUGUACCAAAAGUUCCACUCUGCAAUCUUCCGCUGGUAGGUGAUAGAAUUUAUACGAAGAAAUUUCUUUUCGAUACUUCAAUUACAACAUUGUUUUUUUUUCUAGUGUAGGAUAUUCUAUUCGAGAUAUUUUAGAGUGAUUGAAAAAAAGUAGCCAUUCAUCCUGAGAAAUCGAAUGGUGGAAACAAAGGAAGUACCGCGAACCAUCUAAAGAGAAGUAAUAAUAAGUACCAAAAAUAGUGAGAAAUUACUAUGAUGCCCUUUUAAUUAUGUGUAAAUUUAUUUAAUUCUUUUUUUAUGCAAAUAAGAAAGGUACCACUACUUUAAAACCACUGUAACAAAGCUCAAAGAUAGAAAGACCAAUGUCCUUGAAUAUGCUCAUGUCCUGAAGAUUGCUCCUUUCAUGAAAAAACUGGAGCUGUGUGUAACCGUGUAAGUUUACCCUGCUAUCACAAAAUUUCCCUUUUGCAUAUAAAUUAAUUUGGGCGUGGAAAAUGCGAUCAAUAUGAUAAAUACACACCGACAAUGUUUCCUUUAUGCUAACUCUUGAGCAAUUGGUAGUGUUUGGAAUAUGCAAUGAGAUUAAGAUGCGCUAUUGUAGAGUUUUGGUUUUGCAUUGAAAUGAAAGCCCUACAUGAGUGAUUCUGGCUUUGCUUAAAAACACCUAAAGAAAAUAUCAUCACACCGAGUUAUGUCACAAGUACGAUAUUAGAAACAACAAGAAUGUAAUUCCUUAAUUACUUUAAGUGUGCAGUAAAUAUAUUGACCCUCUGAACUUUGUUAGAUGUGGAUGAACUGCUAGCAUCAACAUUAUCGUAAAGAGGACGGUAAGCUACAGAGCCGUCCUCCACACCAGCACGCCAAUCUCAAGUUUGUUCGUUUCAGCGAAUUUUCGGUCACAAAGAUCACAUUCUUCGCAGUUCGGUUAUUCUUGAGAAGAUGGAGAUCACCACAAGGAUUGAAAUCACUGGUCCAUCCAUAGAUACACAUAGUUAUGAGAAUUCUGAUGAGUACAAGGAUGGUUUUAAAGUCGCCACUGGCUUUGUGUGCGAGGCAGACCACCUCAAUGUCGUUGAAGCGUUAAUGCCAUUGUUUCCAGGAAGGCCAUGGAAGAGGUAAAGCGCAAAUGGCCACGCAACGGCGGCGAGGCGGGUUGGCAUGGUGGGACAAAGGUCGCCAUGGGAGGCACUGCGGUAGAACGCGGGCAAAGUGACCAAACCUUCGUUCCCUGAACUGUUUGUUCCGCGGAGACGGUGAAACGUGUUGUGUUGUGCUCAGUUGAUUUCUAUGGGACGACGGAUGAGAGAUGCUGAUGCUCGAGAGGUUUUCUGUGGCUUCCACCUGCUAUACUGGAAGUCCCAUGCGCUGUAACAUUACUACUAGAAACAAAUGCACUGCUGUCGAACCUGGAAUUCUUGGUUUGGGAUGUAAGAUUACUGAAACUGUAAUUCGGCCGUGGAUGCAUGCCAAGCCCCUCUAAAAAUUAGUGCUUGUUUUGCUUCUGUUUGUGACUUUAUGUGGACUAAACAUGGAUUAUUUAGCAUCAAAAUGCACGAGGCCGUGGUGGGCUCCUGGCCUCCUCGGGUACUAAACAUUGUGACUGGUUUAACUGGGCUUGGUGGUUUUUAGUCAGUGGCUGGCUCACGGCCUUUGAUCUUUGCUGGAAAACGUCGUGGCCCAUGCUUUCCGUUGCGGACUGCCAAACUCUACGUCCAAGUACUAUAGCUAUAAAACAGAUCACGACCUCGUGCGCCGCACCUCGACCUUCCCAGGCACAAGCUCGCCUGAAUCGCGCCGCCGUCCCCGGCUUUCGAUCUCGAGGUACACCGUCUCACCGUCGACCCCCCCCCCCCCCCCCUCUCCCCCCUUGGAAUUUACUCCCAUCUCCACCCCUUCGACGUGCACGAUUGCAUCGGAGUUCCUCCCAUCACAUCUGCUACAUAUUCUUUGCAACAACAACUAAAAUUCCGACGUGAUCUUUUCCAUUAAGUAAGUGAUGCUGCGGAAGGAGAUCGUGUGCCUUACGAGUCAGCAACAGGUAAUCGCAGUUUGUUGGGGGCAGUUUGAGAGGAGAGGGAUCGAGAGAUCAAUGGGGUUUGGAAGAUAUCAAGAAACAGAAUUCGGCAAGAGACAAAUUUGUUAAAAAAAAUCUCUUGUAGAUCGUUUCCUAAUUAAUGAAGUAUGUACCGGCGUACGCAAUAAGCUGAAAACUGCAGCUUGAAUACUUGAUGCAGUUUAUCCAGUGAGGUGCCCUUGAUAUACAUUCUUUUCACUUCAAGGGGUCCCUAUUUUCUUUCUUGGUUUAUAAAGUUAAAUUUCAAGAAAAAUCAUGAACUUCAUUAUCAGUUACAAUCGUCAAUACUGCUUCAUCCGUACCGGAUUCGAUAGGUUUAGAAAAAAUACCAAUGUUACUGUUUGUAAAAUUAUUUUUUAUAGCACUUGAUGUUCUAAUCGUUCUUGUAUAUACUCUUCAGCAAUCAGAUGAAUCUUCUCUACUGAAAAGAGUUUAGUGUAGCCACAACAGAAAGAUCUGGGACAGAGUUCAAAAGACCACUUGGAUGGAGCAAUUACAGAAACAACAAAAGCACCAACAGUUUGGCUUUGCGAUCUUCCAUUGGUAUGUGAUUUUGUACAUAAAUUACGAAUGACAGUGUGUUUCCACUCAUCUAUAUGAUGAAACACGUGACGAGAUGGAUCUUAGUUUUCUCUACUGAAUGCUAUUAUUUUUAUUUGUUACAGGAUGUUUUAUCACACAUCGUAUCACAGUUGCCGAUAAAUGAUGCUAUAAGAACAAGCGUAUUAUCAAGAAAGUGGAAAGAUAUUUGGUGCGGCCACACCAAACUAUCUUUGAAUUCAACUACAGUGAGGAAACACUAUUUCAAGAGUCCCAUCGGUUAUGUAUUCCUCACUAAUAUGGAAUUUGUUGCAAGAGUUGAUGCAAUCCUGCUUCAACAUAGUGGUGGAGGGAUCGAGUGUAUGGAAAUUAAGUUCAGGUUACAUAAUAGCUAUGCAUAUCAUAUUGAUCGUUGGGUUAAUUUUGCGAUCGCAUCGAAGACCAAGGAGCUUAUUAUUGACUUAUUAGGAUCCAGAAAUUUGUCAUAUGGCAAUGCCAUAAAGCGACAUAGCUAAGAACCAUAUAGUUUACCUCAGCAGCUUUUCUGUGCCCAUAAUGGUUCAUACUUGCGGUGUCUAGAGGUUGCUUCUGUAUCUCUACAUCUUCCUGCUGAUUUCAAGGGAUUUCUGAACCUUAAGAAUUUUACCUUAGUUGAUGUGAGUAUUGGCAAUGAAGAUAUUCAGUGUAUGCUAUCCAGAUGCAAUCUUCUGGAAUAUUUUGAGAUUUCCUAUUGCAGAAAUAUUACUAGUAUACGAACUCCUCGGCCUUUGGAUCAACUUAAUCAUUUGGUAGUGGACAACUGCCUCUUGCUUCAAAAUAUAGAGUUGAACGGUAGUCCAACAACUUUCAAGUACAACGGUACUGUGAUUCCUUUUGCAUUUGCUUCAACUUCCAGGUUGACAAAUGUAUCUAUUAAGUUCUUGUCUUGCCAUGCUGCCCUUGAAUACAUUGUCACUGGAUUCCCCAGUGCUUUGCCAAGGCUUGAGAGUCUGACUCUACAUUGUGCAGAACGUGAGGUUUGUAGCUGUCUUCUAUGGUUAUGGUUUCAAUUCUUGUGCAUUAAUUUGUAAGGUUGAAUUUAACAAGUAUAUUUUUUCCCUUUUGGUACGUGUCUGUGCCCCCAGAGAAUAAUUUUACCAGGAAGACCGUUCCAAUUUAGUUAUCUUCGGCAUUUGAAGUUGGAAUUGAUCAUUUUUUGUGACAAAAAAGAUCGAUGUCCUUGACUAUGCUCUUGUCUUGGAGGUUGCUCCUUUCAUCGAAAAACUGGAACUGCAUGUAAGUUUAUCCCUUCGAUGGAAAAUACAUAUUUUGCAUAUGAACGCAUUUGGUUGUGAAAAAUGCCAUCUGAGUAUAAGGUACAAGAGCAAGCAGUGGCUACUUGUGCUAACUGUUGAUAAGUUAGUAGCGCUUGCAGUAUGCAAUGAGGCUAGAUGUACUAUGAAAACUUUUAUUUGGUUUUUUAUUGAACAGAAAGCUGUGGUUCUGCAUUUGUUCUUAAAUACACUUCCCCCGCUUUGAAGUUAAUUCAUGAGAAUAGCAUUCACAACAAUUAGAGUUGAAUUAUGUAUAUGUUCCUUAAGUGUAGGCUCUCAUUCUGUAUCUUGAAUGAUGUAUCCAUGGUAAUGCAUUUCUCAAAAAAAAUACUUUCAUGUACUAACACUCCACUUUAUUUUAGAUGUGGAUGGACUGCUGGUGGUGUCAACCAUACCGCAAAGAGGAUGGUGAGCUAGGGAUUCGCCUCCCACAUCAACAACAACAUCUCAAGUUUGUUCACAUCAGCGGAUUUUUUGGUUACAAAGAUCAAGUGGAGCUGGCACUUCAUAUUCUUCGUAGUUCCGUCAUCCUUGAGAGGAUGGAGAUCAUCCCAAGGGUGGAAAUAACUACACCUGAGACCGAGUCAAGAAAUCUAUAUUAUGAGAGGACCCAGUACAUGAGUGGCCGUAAAAUCGUCACUGAAUUUGUUUGCAAGGCGGACCAACGUAAAGUUGUAGAACUGGUAUGAGGGAACCUCCGCUUGACUAUGGCCGAGGAAGAGGUAGAGAGCGAGGGGCCUCGCGAUGCUGUAACCACGGCUCAAAGGUUGUCUUGUGAGGCACGAUAAAGGUGAUGAGAUUUACCCAUUGAUUAUUGCAAUAAGACUUAUGCAUUGGAUUUUGCUCAUGAUUUUAUUUAGAAGUUGAGUCAUGAAUUUCACAGCAUGUCAGUAUGCCUCUCUUAAAAACCAAUGCAUGUUUUGUUUCCGUGUACGAAGCCUAAACCUCAUUGUAUAAAAAGUUACUCCCCGAGUUUAAAAAUACAAAAAUAUAUUUUAUUUUUAGAAACAAACCUUAAAUAUUCUGACCAAUAUAUUGUUUGAUUAUAAGAAUGUUUAGUGUAUGCAAUGUAAAUCAUAUUGCUUUUAGUCGCAAAUGUAAAUGGUGUACUAUGUGAGAAAAUAAUGGUUGAAGUCUAAACUUGAAGACCAAAUAAAAAAUAAAAUAUGUAUUAUCGUUGAAUUGAGAGAGUAUAUAUCUCCUUUUUUUUUGAAACGAGACUAUAUCUCUUACUAAACAGGAGACGUAUGCAUGCUUAGCCUUCGCCUACAGCAAAAGAUAUACGUGAUCGGAUCAGUGAUUCAGGGAAUCAUCCGUGGUUUUCCUUUUCUUUAAAUACCUGCCCCUCCCGUUUUCAUCUUUCAAAUUAAACGCCGUCUCUGAAAAUAACACACUCUCCACUAUGAUGUAUUCCCUCCGUUUCAAAUUGUAACUUGUUUUGGUUUUUCUAUAUUUAUAGAUAUUACUAGUAGAAAUGCCCGUGCAUUGCUACGGGUCCUUACUUACUCUCACAUUAUUAUUCGCUUGUUUCUAAUAUGUUAGCUUCGCUUCACAAUAUGGUGGUACGUUGUUCCUAGUAGUCCUCUUUUUGCAAGUACGGUAGUAGAAAAUAUUUGUGGGUGGUUUAAUGCUAUCUGUUUAUUACGUGUGACCCACACAUGGAACUCGUGCGUUCUGACAGAAGCGGGGGCGGGCAGCUCUGAGUGGCGUACCGUCUUUUGGAGUCCCAUUGCCGCAGUAGAAGGCGACCUAUGAUGGGAGCGGCGUCAAGAUGUAUGAUGGCGCAACUGUUGUUGGGGCCCUCGCCCUCGACCUCCAGGGCCACCGCCUCCCCAGCGUUGCGCGCCCUCGACGCCGCCCUCACCCUGCUGCUCGCCCGCUUGCUCGAGCCGAGCGAGCGAGGGGACGCGCUCGCGCUGCACCGCCGCCGCCGGGCUCGAUCAGGCCGCCGCGUAUCCGCUUCUUUUUCUCUGUUUAAGAGACAUUACUCGUAUCCGCAUCCUAGAUUUUAAGCCCGCGAUUUCAGGUGUAAAUUGGCGAGGUAGGAUUCUACCUGGUGCGCGGCUUGCAAUCCCCGCCGCCUCCGGGCGCGCGACGCUCUGGCCGCCACUCCGUCUCCAUCUUGGCCCUCCCUCCGCUUCCUUGCACUCCGCCGCUAUCAUCCCCCCUAUGAUUCUUCCUCCGCCGCCUCCGCACCCGCCGGCCACCGCUCCGCCGUCCCUCGGCUGACCCGACGGACGGCGACCGCGAGGUGCAGGCGGCGCCCCCGCCAGGGGUCCGACGAGGCCGUCGAGGAGGACCGCACCGCUGACCUCCCUGAGGAGCUCCUUGCCCUCGUCUUCAGCCUCCUCAACUCCGGCGACAUCAAGCGCUGCUCCUUCGUCCGGCGCCAGAUCCGUCACCGCCUCCAGCGCCUCCUUCGCCGAGGUGAGGAGGGGAGAGGACCUCCCUUCACACUCUCCCUCCUCCUCCUCUCCACGGCCGCGGCCGAGCCCAGGACACCGGCCGGGUCGGGGUGCCGUGCCGGCCGCCAUGGUGAGGAGGAGUGAUGGUCGGCGGCGCUACAGUCAGGCGCGAGAGGUGGACGGAGAGGGAGCUGCGAGCGAGAGCACAGCAGCAGCGGACGGAGGGGAAGGGCGGAGAGGGAGCCGCGGGUGAGAGGAGCAGUGGCAGCGGCUGGACGAGCGGAGAGGAGCCGCGGCAGUGGCAGCAUCAGACGGGGAAAAAAUGGGCGGAGAGGAAGCCGCGGCAAUGGCGGAUGGAUGAAAGAAACGGAAGAGGAGGUGGACGGGCGGAGUCGCGGAGAGGGAGACGGACGGUUCUCGCGGAGGAGCGCAGGCGGCGGACGGGAGGAGACGGAGGCGUGGACCCACUACGGACAAAUUUUUUUUGGCUGAAGCGUUAUUCAAUGGACUGCGGGUUAAUUAUUAAAAAGUUAAGGAACUUUUUUGCAAAAUGACCACAACGGUUGGAAGAAAUAACCGCUCUUUUAUAUUAUUAGGUAUAUAUUAUGCAUCUAGAUGUGCAAUCCAUGAUAAAAAGUUAUGCACCUGGAAAAAUGGAACGAAGCGAGUAGCAAAACUUGUGAAGAUAAAGCAAAAAAAAGAUCGUAUUUAACCAAUUAAUGGUUUCGACGCUUCUGAUAAGUUUUGACCGAAACUUUAGAGCAGAAUCGCGAAUUAUGUUAAUUUCGCCGGGGAACGAAAUUCUAGCCAAACCAAAAGAGAGAACCCUGCGUGCACGUGCACGCAAUGCAGCCAAUGUUCAGUUCAGGUGAAUUAUUAAUUAGCCACAAGAGGCCUCAAUUAUUUUGGGUCGCGAUACAUACCAGACUACCAGUACAAACUUAACCACAGCCAGCACACAGCACAGUGUACAGCAUAUACACGCAACACACCACAUCAGUAUAGAAUAAUUGCAGCGCGGACCGAUAUAUUCGGUGCUCGGUCGGCACGUGGGCACGAGGCCGUGCGGGAGCGCCUGUUUGCAUGCAUGCAACCUACGCGGCGAGCAGGCUACUUCGUCGAGCCAGCCACCGGAACGAACGCGGUGGCGCACAGCAUCAGCGGCGAGCGGCGACGCACGCCGAGGCCUGGUGCCUCCUCCAUGUCGACCUCAGCAACCCCCUCCGGCAGCGACCAGUCAAAGUGGUAGAGCAUCCCGACGAUCGCGAGCUCCAUGCUGGCGAGCCCGUAGUUGAAGCCGGGGCACAUCCUCCGCCCCGCGCCGAACGGCAGGAACUCGUAGCUGCUGCCCAUGAAGUCGACGCCGCCGUCUUCGAACCGCUCCGGCUUGAACUCCUCGGCGUCGUCCCAGUACUUGGGGUCGCGGCCGAUGGCGAACGCGUUGAUGACGACGCGGGACUUGGCCGGGAUCGUGUAUCCGUCCAGCUCGCAGGGCUCAAUGCUCUCACGCGGCACCAGCAGCGGCGCCGGCGGGUGCAGCCGCAGCGCCUCCUUGAUCACCAGCUUCAGGUACCGGAGGUUGCUCGCCUGCAGGUCGGCCUCCGUCACCUCUGACUUCCCAUGGAACGCCUCCCGGAUCUGCCCCUGCAGCUUCUUCAUCACCGCCGGGUUCCGCAUCAGCUCCGACAUUCCCCACUCCAUUGCCGACGCCGACGUCCCCGUCCCGCCGGCGAACAUGUCCUGCGUGCGUGCUCAGCCUCAUCAAUGACGCAGACCUAUCGAGCUACGUGACUAUUUCCAUGGAAAUGCUAAGGAUAUGUACCAGUAUGAUGGCCUUGAUUCUGCUGUUGUUGAGGUGGAAGCCGAAGCCGCCUUUCUCCUGCAGGCCGAUGAGCACGUCGACGAGGUUCUCCUCGGCGUUCUCGGCGCCGCUCCUGACCUUCUCGUCGAGGAUGGCCUUCCUCUCGUCGAUGAUCUCCUGCAGGAUGGAGUCCACCGUCCUGUGGAUGUCCUGGAGGCUGCGCUUCAUGCCGGUGACCUUGGCCAGCACGGUGGUCCACGUCGGGAACAGGUCCGGGAUGCUGAAGCCGCUCGAAAGCCCGACGCCGGCCUUGAUGGCCGCCAUGAACUCCGGCGCGUUCUUCCGCUUCUUCCCGAAGGCCGCCCGCGAUACGAUGCUGUUGGUGAGGCUGUGGAACAUCACGCUCAGGUUCACCGGCGCCGACGGCCCCGCCGCGCGGAUCUCCUCCAGCUUCAGCGCCACCUCGUCCUCCCUGAUGUGGCGGAAGGAGAGCACGCGCUUGGGGCUGAGGAUCUCGGCGGCGCAGAGCUGGCGGAGCUUGCGCCAGUAGUCGCCGGAGGGGGAGAAGAGGAUGUCGGCCCAUUCGUAGCCGACGAUCUCGCCGGCGAGGAGCUUGGGCCGGGUGGCGAAGUUGGUGUCGUGGGUCUUGAGCACCGCGCGCGCCGCCUCCUUGGACGACGCCACCACGAGCGGCGUCUCCCCGAGCUGCAGCAUCAUGAGCGGGCCGUGCGCGGCCGCCAGGUCCCGCAGCGCGCGGUGGGGCAGCACGUUGACGAGGUGGUGCAUGCUGCCGAUCACCGGCAGCUUCCACGGCCCCGGCGGCAGCCGUGGCCUCGGCCUCAGGGCGAGCUUCACCAGCUGGAGCAGCGCGACGGCGGCCAUGGAGAGGAGGAGCGACUGGUAGAAGUACUCGUCCAUGGCUGCGGGUUCUUGCUAGUACAGUAUGCGGGUUCUUGCUAGUACAGUAGCUAGCUGCUGAGUUUGCUUGCUGAGCUUGCUGUCGAGUGUAGUGGACUCUGGUUGAUGGUUCACUGAUGCCUGGGAUGGGGCUCGUAUAUAUAGUGCGAGUAGCUAGGGUUAGGGUACCAUACACAUAUGCAUUAUUGCCCCAUGUCGUCACGAUGUGACGCAACUCUCUCGUCUCGUCAAGGUCCGAGCAUUACUUAAACAUGGAGCACCGAUCAUUUGUUCACACGCACUGAAUUAAUGAAUUACCCUGCAGGCCAAGGCCAGCGGUCACGUACGUGAAUAACGUGUGCGGUGGUGCCUGAUGGGAGCAAUUUUUUGCUACGCAGAGUACACGUACCAUGCGUCCGUAGGAUGGCAAGCGUGGCGUGGUACCAUUCCAUCGCCGAUCUGCAUGUGAUGGCAAUCUCAUGUACUGUUGAAUGUUGAUCCCCCGGAUCUGGAGAGAAAAAAAAAAAAGAAAAGCGACCCGAUGAGACCGCGGCACGUGAUGGCGACGCGACAAAACAUCUCGAUUGGUUUUCUGAUCAAAUGAUCCGUCAGGCCAUCGAUCGUAGUGAGUGCGACGAAACAUGCAGCGUGCAGUAGAUUGUUUGCUAGUCGCAGCUUUGACGCAUGAUACAUGCUCGUUCCUACUAGAGUCCAGCGUACACGUACGCCCCGCAUGGCCUCAGCCAAGACGCCCCCACCGUGUUGCGGUGGAUGGCAGGAUAAUCCUAAAAUUUACUGCGUGCUCAGCUACGGGCCAGGGGUGCACGGUGCUUACUGCUUAGCGCGUGCGUGUCAAACGUGACGCGUCGACGUGUACGUACCUACCAUGCUGCCCUAUAUAUCACAGUAUAUGCUGCUAUUUGAUUAUGCGACUACCAUUCGGUCUCCAAUACUUUAAUCACAUAUUUUUGCAUGCUACUUGGUUGACUUGACUGAAGCCAAGUAGUCUCGUCAGCUUGAGCAAAUCUGUCGCGGAAUCACCUCAUGCGUGCAUUGCAUAUGUGCAUGAUCUGGGCUUUCGAGGAAGCUCGGUGCAUGUGUUUGCAGCUUUUUCUUGACACGCAGGUGAGCUCUGACGUACGUACGUGAGAGUGAUAGAACGCGGGGCACAGUACAGGCCAUUCGAUCAAUUGCUAUCGCAGCCGAGAUGAGUUUACAAGUGUAACCAUGUCGGGCUGGGCGCGCUUGUCUCUGAGUCUAUGAAGAGCAAUAGAGCAUCUGACCGAGAUGUGUGCCAUUGGCUGUCAGACCGUGAGUUCUCUUUGUAUUAUCACUUUGGCUUAAUGGAAUGUGCAGUGAUAUACUCAGGGGCGGAGGAUAGUGAUGGCCAAGGUGGGCCUUGGCACCCCCUGCAUUUGGAACUUUCCUUUCAGUAACGGUUAAUCGUGUGUUUAUACUACUAUAAUCUAGUUGAUUGCAUGUCACUGGCCCCCUCUGAAUUUCUGCUGGAUAUACUCCCAGUAUGCACGUAAGGAGAUGUUAUAAUAUCAACAUUAUUCGGAUAUUCUCAAGGUAUGUGCAUAUCAUUUCAGUUGCUUCAGGAAAAAAAAAAGAUGCAAGUACGUGUAUAUGCUCCUCACCUGCUGCAUAAAAAUGGGCAAGAGUUGGAUGACUAUAUAAUCCCUGGGUCCACCAUUUAUCUUCUAGCAGGCGCUCUCUGGUCAUUUCUCUCCCCCGGUCCACGAUAUAUAGGUAGAAAUUAGAAUAAAACACGUAUUAAUGCAUGUUGAUGUUACAGACAAACAGCAAGAAAAGGAAUCCAGAUUUUUGACCAACCAAUCCCUCAAUCGGCAUCUGUGGUCGUCGUACGUAGCAUAAUUUUUGUUUAGGUAAAGGACGUACUGCACGUGUCAUAUAUGUGUCGUCAUACGUGUGACGUAGCAUAUUACACUGCUUUAUUACCAUUUGGUCGCGCAUCACGACACGCUUUGUGGCAGGGGUAUCGGGCACAUCUGCUGCUGCGGGAAUCGUAUGCCGACACCUCUGCUCGUCUCACGUACCCGUGUGACCGUGAAACCCACCACUAUUAAGCCGGCGCCGGUUAUUAAGCACGGUUUGAUAACCGGCCGGUCACCCCACUUGGCCACUUGUAUAAAACUGCAAGGCUUCUAGUAUAAACUCAAGGCGCGUCUCUCUCUCUCUCUCUCUCUCUCUCUCUCUCUCUCUCUCUCUCUCUCUCUCUCUCUCUCUCUCUCUCUCUCUCUCUCUCUCUCUCUCUCUCUCUCUCACGUGCUUCCGUUCUCCGUCUUGUCCGUUCGGCUGUGACGGGUUUGUGUGUGCACUAGUGGCCAUCAGGUUCGUGCGAUAAUGUAUGCUUAACAAAUUUGAAAAGGAUUUUAUUAUAUUUUAUUAUUGUUAAUGAACGUGUGUGCAGAAACCGACGAACUAGAACUACCACUUGCGGUUUGGUAUCUGUUACUCACUUCAAUUGGUGAGCGCUAGUGCGCCGUAGACACAUGCAUGCUGAAAUCGGCCGUUAAUUUGGUAUCUGUUACUAAAACACGCCUGAAACUUUGUCAUUGUACCGCUUAUUUCAGUCUUGGGAAUAUGCCCAACUGUACACACAUUAACUUGCAAAAUGAGAUGCCAUGCUAUUAAUUUGGCAACGGUGGCCUUCAAUUCUAUUCCCUCCGUUCAUUCCAACUUUCUUGGAGGGUCAAAACAUCUCAAGUUUCACCAAAUUGAAACAAUAAAGUACUAACAUUCAUGAUAUUAAAUAAGUACCAUUAGUUUUUUUAUUAAAUAUAUUUUCAUAAUAUAUCCAUUCGAUGUCAUAAACUUUUGUGAUACUCUCUAUAAUUUUGAUCAAAUAUAAAAUGAUUUGACUCUCCAAAAAAAUUAGAAUGAUUUAUAAUUUGGAACGGAGGGAGUACGGUGGACGGAAUUUCACGCAAGUUUUGCACAUUGCUUCAGUUCACGCGGAUUUGGGAGAAAGAAAAAAAAAAUCCAUGUUUCAAAAAUGAUAAAAGCGAGUGAGAAUUAAAAUGAAUGUGAUGUCUGAAGAGCUGAGUAAGUGCGAAUUAAUUUACCAAACCUGGAGAAUCGAACUGAAACCAAAUCACUGAAGUCACAGCCUCUGUGUCCAACGUUCGUUUCGCCCACCGCCUGCACCGACUAGCUAGGUACAUCAUCUCGAUGGUUGGUGCAAACGUGCGCACAUGUAUACAAACCAAACUUGUAAUGAGUAUGUAUGCAACAUGCCAUGGGCGGAUCUACAGGGGCGAUUGGAACGAAAGGAGGAAGAUGAGAAGAAAAUCAGGAAAAAAAAGGGUGGAGUGGUAUUGCACGUUAGUGAUGGUAAUAAAUAAAUGGAUUAUAAAGAGAUCGCGUAUUUUUCUCAUAUGCCACUUCCCCCUACCUUAGGGCUCAUGUGCCAUUUCUAUGAGCUGCCACCGCUGUCCACGUCUCCGAUCCCUAAAUAAAGAAAUUCUAGUACUAUCUAACCUUCACAUUGGCCCUUUUUCUAGAAAAUGGGCCGGCCCAUUGUGUCCAAUAGAAAUUUAAGGCUCUUCCACGGACCGGCAAUUCGGUCCAUUGUGCGUUCGUUUGUGGAUACGUACGCGGCGCAGGCGCGCAGUAUGUUUAGGCCCAAUUUUGGCUGCUGAUUGGGCCAAUGACAACUCAGGCAAUUUACGGCCCAGUAGAGGCAAUUGCCCGGCCAAUUCAGCAGGCGAAGAAAAGCCUUCCGAGGCGCCCUGCGGUAGUGUGCGGUUCUGCUUGUCUCCACUGGUUGGAGACCUCGGCAAAGCAUGCUUCAACCAUGUCCACCGGUCACCAGGGCUUAAGGGCUCGUUUGGAUGCUCACCCGUGACGGCCAAGCCAAACAUCGGCUGCGGCCAAAUUUUGGCGGCCGAUUCAGCCGCCCACAAAUUGGCCGGCUGGGCACGCAAAACUGAACUGCGGAAGACAUGGCGUGCCAAAUCGCGGCUACUAUCCAAAUGCCGCAUUUGCCCAGGGUGAACGGCCCACGAGUCCACGACGACCCGGCAAGAGAGAGAUCAGAGAUAGCUCGCUCGUGAAUCCCUGGUCCCACCACCAAGGCCACUGUGAUGGAGUCAUGGAGAUGUCGAACUGUCUAAGCAUCGUCAGAACUCAAGACAGCCGAGACACCACCACGUACAGGCAGAUCGCAGGGAACUCAAACGGCAGGACGCCCCAGUACGAGUGCCGCUGCGACUGCCGCACGAUCAGAGGCGGCAGUCCCACGCAUCGCAGCAUCACGAUCGCGCUAACAAACAACGCACCACAGACAGACCAAACCAAACCCACUGCCUCGACAAAGAUUGUACCACCGACUGAAGAUGAGGGUACAUUCUGUUCCUAGGUGUAGCAACUUUUACAGGCACUUCCCUGCCUUAUGCCUUCUUCUCGGAUCCAAUCCCCUAACACAGUAACACCAUCCCCAGACAUACAACUGCAGCUCAAUGUCGCGCUGCAAAACCACAGGAUGGGCCCUCCUAGCACAGCAUUUUAACACAAAAGGGAAAUCAAAGCUACAAAACUAUGAGUCUUUGAUGAGGAACUAACACUCCUUUCGGCUUUCGCCACCGACCACCUGCACCAUAAGUUUCCUUCUUUCGCCAUUGGUUCUUCUGAAAGAGCUAGCUAA
rnacentral:lncRNA from 1 species